CAGCAGUGGGGAAUAUUGCACAAUGGGCGCAAGCCUGAUGCAGCCAUGCCGCGUGUGUGAAGAAGGCCUUCGGGUUGUAAAGCACUUUCAGUCGUGAGGAAGGUAGUGUAGUUAAUAGCUGCAUUAUUUGACGUUAGCGACAGAAGAAGCACCGGCUAACUCCGUGCCAGCAGCCGCGGUAAUACGGAGGGUGCGAGCGUUAAUCGGAAUUACUGGGCGUAAAGCGCAUGCAGGUGGUUUGUUAAGUCAGAUGUGAAAGCCCGGGGCUCAACCUCGGAAUAGCAUUUGAAACUGGCAGACUAGAGUACUGUAGAGGGGGUAGAAUUUCAGGUGUAGCGGUGAAAUGCGUAGAGAUCUGAAGGAAUACCGGUGGCGAAGGCGGCCCCCUGGACAGAUACUGACACUCAGAUGCGAAAGCGUGGGGAGCAAACAGGAUUAGAUACCCUGGUAG
rnacentral:rRNA from 1 species